rnacentral:rRNA from 1 species
UACAGAGGUCUCAAGCGUUGUUCGGAAUUACUGGGCGUAAAGGGUGCGCAGGCCGCGCGGGCAGUCAAAUGUGUAAUUCAGGGGCUCAACCCCUGCACUGCGCUUGAUACUUCCGCGCUCGAGCUGUGGAGAGGAGUCUGGAAUUCUCGGUGUAGCAGUGAAAUGCGUGGAUAUCGAGAGGAACACCAGUGGCGAAGGCGAGUCCCUGGACAACUCCUGACGAGGAGGCACGAAAGCUAGGGGAGCAAACAGG